AUGCGCGCUGCUGGCACGGUCGGUUACAUGGACCCUGAAUACUACAGACUGCAACAACUAACGACGAAAAGUGAUGUGUAUAGUUUCGGAGUAAUGUUGCUAGAGUUAUUGUCGGGUUACAAGGCGAUUCACAAGAAUGAGAAUAGGGUACCAAGAAAUGUGGUUGAUUUUGUUGUACCAUACAUAGUACAAGAUGAGAUUCAUAGGGUAUUGGAUCGUAGAGUUCCACCACCAACACCUUUUGAAAUUGAGUCUGUGGCAUAUGUAGGUUAUCUAGCAGCAGAUUGUACCACAUUAGAAGGUAGAGAUCGUCCAACUAUGGCUCAAGUUGUAAAUACACUAGAAAGAGCCUUGAACGCAUGUUUGGCUACUCCAAUUUUCUCUCGGUCUAACACCGGUGAUUCGUCCACAUAGGCAGCAAGCUUUGACACGUGUAUAUUGUAAUUACACAUUUUUCUUAACUCAAGUUGUAAAUACGCUAGAAAGAGCCUUAAAGGCAUGUUUGGCUACUCCAAUUUUCUCUCGGUCUAACACCGAUGAUUCGUCCACAUAAGCAGCAUGCUUUGACACGUGUAUAUUGUAGUUACACAUUUUUCUUAUUUUUCUAUAUAUAUUUAAAUUAUUUUUCCACACUAGCGGACCAUUUCUUUUCUAAAUUUAUCAUUAUUUACCCAGUCGUUUUUAAUUUGUGACACUUUUCGCUUAUCUGUGUAU
rnacentral:lncRNA from 1 species